rnacentral:tRNA from 2 species
GCCGAGGUAGCCAAGCCCGGAUUAAGGCGCUGGUCUUGAAAACCAGUGUGCGGAUGCACUCAGGAGUUCGAAUCUCCUCCUCGGCGCCA